CAGUCGCCGCGGGAAUACGAAGGGUGCAAGCGUUACUCGGAAUUACUGGGCGUAAAGCGUGCGUAGGUGGUGGUUUAAGUCCGUUGUGAAAGCCCUGGGCUCAACCUGGGAAUUGCAGUGGAUACUGGAUCACUAGAGUGUGGUAGAGGAUAGUGGAAUUUCCGGUGUAGCAGUGAAAUGCGUAGAGAUCGGAAGGAACAUCUGUGGCGAAGGCGACUAUCUGGGCCAACACUGACACUGAGGCACGAAAGCGUGGGGAGCAAACAGGAUUAGAUACCCGCGUAGUCCCUGUCUCUUAUAC
rnacentral:rRNA from 1 species